GUAGCCGUGGUCGAGCGGGUAAGGCGACGGACUAGAAAUCCGUUGGGGUUUCCCCCGCGCGGGUUCGAUUCCUGCACGACUACG